GACAAGACGGAAAGACCCCAUGAACCUUUACUAUAGGCUUUUAUUGCACAUGAGUUUGUAUUGCGUAGGAUAGGUGGGAGGCUUUGAAGCGGCCGUUCUGGCGGUCGUGGAGCCAUCCUUGAAAUACCACCCUUAUCUUCGUGGAUGUCUAACUGCGGUCCGUUAUCCGGAUCCAGGACAGUGUGUGGUGGGUAGUUUGACUGGGGCGGUCGCCUCC
rnacentral:rRNA from 1 species